GCUUUUUUAUUUAUUUAUUUUUAUUUUUAUUUUUUUUUUUUCAUCCUCACUUUCUCUCUGCUCCUGAGACAGCCCCAGCUUUCUCUUGCCCCAGGGCCUUUGCACUUGCUGUUCUCACUUCUAAAAUACUCUCACCCUAGGUCCCACUGUGGCUGACUCCUUCUCUCCCGGGUCUCAGCCCAAAGCCCACUCCUCAGAAAAAUCCUUCAGUGUUUAGUCUGCUGUACACUUGAGCUCCAGCCCUCUCGAUGAUUGUCUCUGCACAAAACCCACUUGGCUCCCGGCUGGGGGUAGACGCGGAACACAGCCCAUCCACGCGGCCCCAUGGUGCACAGCGGCUGUGUCUCGGGCCAGCGAGGGAGGCGGACGUGGG
rnacentral:lncRNA from 1 species